rnacentral:pre_miRNA from 1 species
GAGACACCCGUAUAGAGCAGGACUUGCUUCAGUGGGGCUUUGGUGCUCACUGAGUCUUCUUCUUGAGUGUGUCGCU